rnacentral:rRNA from 1 species
AUUGAACGCUGGCGGCAGGCCUGACACAUGCAAGUCGAGCGGAUGAAGGGAGCUUGCUCCUGGAUUCAGCGGCGGACGGGUGAGUAAUGCCUAGGAAUCUGCCUGGUAGUGGGGGAUAACGUCCGGAAACGGGCGCUAAUACCGCAUACGUCCUGAGGGAGAAAGUGGGGGAUCUUCGGACCUCACGCUAUCAGAUGAGCCUAGGUCGGAUUAGCUAGUUGGUGGGGUAAAGGCCUACCAAGGCGACGAUCCGUAACUGGUCUGAGAGGAUGAUCAGUCACACUGGAACUGAGACACGGUCCAGACUCCUACGGGAGGCAGCAGUGGGGAAUAUUGGACAAUGGGCGAAAGCCUGGUCCAGCCAUGCCGCGUGUGUGAAGAAGGUCUUCGGAUUGUAAAGCACUUUAAGUUGGGAGGAAGGGCAGUAAGUUAAUACCUUGCUGUUUUGACGUUACCAACAGAAUAAGCACCGGCUAACUUCGUG